rnacentral:rRNA from 1 species
UGAGUAACGCGUGAGUAACCUGCCUUUCAGAGGGGGAUAACGUUCUGAAAAGAACGCUAAUACCGCAUGAGACUACAGAGCUGCAUGGCUCAGUGGUCAAAGGAGCAAUCCGCUGAAAGAUGGACUCGCGUCCGAUUAGAUAGUAGGCGGGGUAACGGCCCACCUAGUCGACGAUCGGUAGCCGGACUGAGAGGUUGAACGGCCACAUUGGAACUGAGACACGGUCCAAACUCCUACGGGAGGCAGCAUG